UACGGAGGGUGCAAGCAUUAAUCGGAUUUAUUGGGCGUAAAGGGCGCGUAGGCGGGUUAUUAAGUCAGAUGUGAAAUCCCAGAGCUCAACUCUGGAACAGCAUAUGAAACUGAUAGUCUUGAGGGUAGGCGGAGAAAAUGGAAUUCCACAAGUAGCGGUGAAAUGCGUAGAUAUGUGGAAGAACACCAGUGGCGAAGGCGAUUUUCUAGCUUAUACCUGACGCUAAUGCGCGAAAGCAAGGGGAGCAAACAGG
rnacentral:rRNA from 1 species